rnacentral:rRNA from 1 species
CCUACGGGCGGCAGCAGUAGGGAAUAUUGCUCAAUGGGGGAAACCCUGAAGCAGCAACGCCGCGUGGAGGAUGAAGGUUUUCGGAUUGUAAACUCCUUUUGUUAGAGAAGAUAAUGACGGUAUCUAACGAAUAAGCACCGGCUAACUCCGUGCCAGCAGCCGCGGUAAUACGAAGGGUGCAAGCGUUAUUCGGAAUCACUGAGCGUAAAGAGCGCGUAGGCGGGAUAGCAAGUCAGAUGUGAAAUCCUAUGGCUUAACCAUAGAACUGCAUUUGAAACUGUUAUUCUAGAGUAUGGGAGAGGUAGGUGGAAUUCUUGGUGUAGGGGUAAAAUGCGUAGAGAUCAAGAGGAAUACUCAUUGCGAAGGCGACCUGCUAGAACAUAACUGACGCUGAUGCGCGAAAGCGUGGGGAGCAAACAGGAUUAGAUACCCUAGUAGUC